GGAGUUGUGGCUCAGUGGUAGAGCACUUGCUUAGCAUGUGGGAGGCUCUGGGUUCGAUUCUUAGCACUACA
rfam:Ictidomys tridecemlineatus contig066267, whole genome shotgun sequence.